GACCGACAGCAUGGACGCGCGAUUUGAAGAAGACGCCAAAGACUUCGCUCAGGUUGGGCUCGAUAAACGGGGUAGCACAGGCAACCUUGUCCAGGGCCCAGUGCUAGAUGGAUCCACUGAAUACCAUACAGAUUCUUCAGAUGAAGAGACCACAGAAUGUAGCCAGGUUGGUCAUAUAAGUGCAAAUCAGUCUCCGACUGAUGAGAUGUCCGCCAGCGAAAGCGCCUGCCUGCUCACCCUUCAGGGACUGAAUCCCACCAGUUCAGCGGAAACAGAGCCCUCCGACACCAAAGCUCCUGCUGUUGCGAGUUCUGCAUGCAGCUUCAAAAAUGGCCACGUCUUUCCGAAGGAAGAGUCCAGCAGAGCCCCGCCCAUCUGCACUCCACCGACCGCAGCCGCGAACCGACCCCGUCCGCUCUGCACACACUCGCCUGGCUGCGGCGGAUUCUGCGAAGCGGAGAAGAAGCACGCUUCCUCCGGCUCCUCCCCCAAGAGCCAACGCAGCCUGAAAACCUCCACGAGUCAGAUUCAAGGGGCAGCUGGCGAUGACCUUUGUGCCUCUGUUUUGCUGGCCUGCCUUUUCUGCCAGCUGUGCGACUGCUUGCUGGCCACGGCCGAGGGUUGUCGACUGUGCUUCUCCUCGCUCUGCUCCUCCCUGUGCUGCUGCGACGCCUCAUCCUUGGAGGUUCUGUUGGGCUUCGCCCCCCGCUGCAGCUGCGGGGGCUGCCUCGAACCACAGGGCUGCCUCUGCGGCGGAACCGUGUUCGACUGCUCUGUCCUGGACCUCUGUUUCCACACGACCGAGUGUCUGGAACUGGGCAUGGAGAUCUCGCAGAUUCUCUUCCACUGA
rnacentral:lncRNA from 1 species